UGGCGGCCUGGGCGGGCGGGAGCACGCGGGCGGGGCCGCCGAACCCUGACGCGCCGCUGUCCCUGUCCGCAGCCCUAGGCGGCGUCG
rnacentral:pre_miRNA from 8 species